CCUACGGGAGGCAGCAGUGAGGAAUAUUGGUCAAUGGGCGCGAGGCUGAACCAGCCAAGUCGCGUGAGGGAUGACGGUCCUACGGAUUGUAAACCUCUUUUGCCGGGGAGCAAGCGUGCGUUCGUGAACGCGCGUCGAGAGUACCCGGAGAAAAAGCAUCGGCUAACUCCGUGCCAGCAGCCGCGGUAAUACGGAGGAUGCGAGCGUUAUCCGGAUUUAUUGGGUUUAAAGGGUGCGUAGGCGGGCAUUUAAGCCGGCGGUCAAAUGUCGGGGCUCAAACCCGGCCUGCCGUCGGAACUGGGUGCCUUGAGUGGGCGAGAAGUAUGCGGAAUGCGUGGUGUAGCGGUGAAAUGCAUAGAUAUCACGCAGAACCCCGAUUGCGAAGGCAGCAUACCGGCGCCCUACUGACGCUGAGGCACGAAAGUGCGGGUAUCGAACAGGAUUAGAUACCCGGGUAGUC
rnacentral:rRNA from 1 species